rnacentral:sRNA from 1 species
UCUAAGAAGGGGGAGUCCUGAACUUGCCUGAAGCCAUUGUCCCUAAGCCUUGAACUACAUUCUUAAAUCUAUGAAGUCGAGGGCCCUUUCGCUGCUUUUGUAGGGACUUCUUUCCUUCCUCAGCAACAUGAGGCUUUUCUUGUGGAAAGCGGUCUUGACUCUGUUCGUCACUUCUUUGAUUGGGGCUUUGAUCCCUGAACCAGAAGUGAAAAUUGAAGUUCUCCAGAAGCCAUUCAUCUGCCAUCGCAAGACCAAAGGAGGGGAUUUGAUGUUGGUCCACUAUGAAGGCUACUUAGAAAAGGACGGCUCCUUGUUUCACUCCACUCACAAACAUAACAAUGGUCAGCCCAUUUGGUUUACCCUGGGCAUCCUGGAGGCUCUCAAAGGUUGGGACCAGGGCUUGAAAGGAAUGUGUGUAGGAGAGAAGAGAAAACUAAUCAUUCCUCCUGCUCUGGGCUAUGGAAAAGAAGGAAAAGGUAAUAGUAUUUCUGUAUUUCUUACUAUAGCACUAGAAUUGUUCUCUGGAUUAGGAGACAGAAGUUAGAGUCACUACAACUUUUUUUUUUUUUUCCUAGAAGUUAAUAGGGGGUAUGCAUUCCUUUAGCAACUGUAUUAUGUCUUGAUUAUCAAUUGAAAUGGCCAGUUUAAGGCCGUAAUGUCUAAAUGGGCAACCAUGCUAACAAUAAAAAAAGAGCAUUGAGGUCUAUUAAUACUGUUCACCAAUAUGGUGGGUUGUUUUAAUUGUGAUAA